rnacentral:tRNA from 1 species
UUCCCCUUAGUUCAGCGGAUAGAACCUGGGAUUUCUAAUCCCAUAACGUGUGUUCGAUUCACACAGGGGAAA